CCGAGGCCCGGCCCCGCGGCGCUCCCCUCCCUUGCCAGCUCCCCCCCGCCCCCGGCCCUGCCCCCAGCCCGGGAGCCGCCGCUUCCCCGGCGGGCGGGCGAGGGAAGGGGGACCGCCCGGCGCUCCGGUGCCGCGUAGCGGGAUGCGGGGAUUUAGGUAUUCGUGUCCACCUCAGAGCCUGCUCCCUCUGAAGUCUCCUGUGUUCCUCUAACAACCCUAGAAAUUCUUCAGCCCGGAGGCUGUGUACUCAACAGGCAGACGGCUCAGUCUGUGUAUGUUGUCUGAGUGUCUGGAAUCUACACCUGGUACCUCUCCACUGGCACCCACAAUUUAAGAAAGUGAAUAGAAGCUUUCAAGGAGGAACAUGGCACACCAGGAUCAGGAGCUACUGUAGACAUUUCCAUCUAUUUUGGGGUUCUGUUUGAUAUGAGAAACUGUGAUUGCUCAGGUCAACAUACUUUUUUCCCCCUCAUUUUUGAACUGGCUCUCUUUGCAGAACAACGUUUGUUUCUUUCCCUUUUUGAUUUUUUACCCACUCAUGUGUGUUAGGAUCUACAUACAUGAAUAUUUGAGGUUUAAACUUCUGUUUGCAAGCAUGGUAGAACCAUUUAAUGCUGUGUGUGUGUUUGCAUGUGUGCACUCAGUUGUGUCUGACUCUUUGCGACCCCAUGGACUGUAGCCCGUCAGGCUCUUCUGUCCAUGGGAUUUUCCAGGCAAGAAUACUGGAGUGGGUU